rnacentral:rRNA from 1 species
CGUAAAGCGAGCGCAGGCGGAAAAAUAAGUCUAAUGUGAAAGCCCUCGGCUUAACCGAGGAAUUGCAUCGGAAACUGUUUUUCUUGAGUGCAGAAGAGGAGAGUGGAACUCCAUGUGUAGCGGUGGAAUGCGUAGAUAUAUGGAAGAACACCAGUGGCGAAGGCGGCUCUCUGGUCUGCAACUGACGCUGAGGCUCGAAAGCAUGGGUAGCGAACAGGAUUAGAUACCCUGGUAGUCCAUGCCGUAAACGAUGAGUGCUAGGUGUUGGAGGGUUUCCGCCCUUCAGUGCCGGAGCUAACGCAUUAAGCACUCCGCCUGGGGAGUACGACCGCGAGGUUGAAACUCAAAGGAAUUGACGGGGGCCCGCACAAGCGGUGGAGCAUGUGGUUUAAUUCGAAGCUACGCGAAGAACCUUACCAGGUCUUGACAUCUUGCGCUAACCUUAGAGAUAAGGCGUUCCCUUCGGGGACGCAAUGACAGGUGGUGCAUGGUCGUCGUCAGCUCGUGUCGUGAGAUGUUGGGUUAAGUCCCGCAACGAGCGCAACCCUUGUUACUAGUUGCCAGCAUUAAGUUGGGCACUCUAGUGAGACUGCCGGUGACAAACCGGAGGAAGGUGGGGAUGACGUCAAGUCAUCAUGCCCCUUAUGACCUGGGCUACACACGUGCUACAAUGGGCAGUACAACGAGAAGCGAGCCUGCGAAGGCAAGCGAAUCUCUGAAAGCUGUUCUCAGUUCGGACUGCAGUCUGCAACUCGACUGCACGAAGCUGGAAUCGCUA